UUUGGUUUUACCGUAGGUACCGUAAUGAUAUUCUAGUUCUUUCAUAGGUGUUCAAUUGAAUUCUUGAUUAUUCUUCACAUCAUAAUAGAUCCAAGAUGGCCUAACCGGUCAUGCCAAAUAGUAAAAGUAUGUAGUUCUACAAACUUCUUGUUUAUAGUAACUUGUGUCUCAAUUGCAUUGAUAUGUAUAUAAUAUAAUCCUGGUGAAAAAGCAAGUAGUCUUUCCAAAUGAUAUUUCUUUC
rnacentral:lncRNA from 1 species